CGGGUGGCAGCAGUGGGGAAUUUUGCACAAUGGAGGAAACUCUGAUGCAGCAACGCCGCGUGAGUGAAGAAGGCCUUUGGGUUGUAAAGCUCUUUCGGCUGGGAAAAAGAGGCUUGCGGUUAAUAGCCGUGAGUUUUGAUGGUACCAGAGUAAGAAGCACCUGCUAACUACGUGCCAGCAGCAGCGGUAAUACGUAGGGUGCAAGCGUUGUUCGGAAUAACUGGGCGUAAAGGGUGCGUAGGUGGGUUUGUAAGUUGUCUGUGAAAUUCCUGGGCUUAACCUGGGCGCGGCAGGCAAAACUGCAGAUCUUGAGUGUUUGAGAGGAUGGUGGAAUUCCAGGUGUAGAAGUGAAAUUCGUAGAUAUCUGGAAGAACAUCGGAGGCGAAGGCGGCUAUCUGGCAACACACUGACACUGAGGCACGAAAGCGUGGGGAUCAAACAGGAUUAGAUACCCCAGU
rnacentral:rRNA from 1 species